rnacentral:tRNA from 1 species
CGGCCAGUGGCGUAGUGGUCGAACGCGACUCCUUAUGAAGGAGACGGCCGCGGGUUCGAACUUUACCUGGUUGG